GUUCCUUUGUUUUUUAGUGUUACACUUUUGAGUGUAAGUGUACGAAAUUCUAUGGACAUUUGAGUGUAAAAUGACAGCGGCUCAUGACAGCGGACAGUAUUAAACGAAAAUUAUCGGUGUGCCAAUCAAGCAAAGGGACAAGGAACUUCCGAAUAUGGCCUAACUGGGGGCACAUAACAUAACAUAACCUAAUCCUAAUAUUUACAUUUGUAAAGAAUAUCCUGUUUGUUUUUAUUGUCGAUUGUGCAGCGAAAUUGUGUGCAGCAAAUCAAAUAUAAAGUAGUUUAUCGCCUACAGAACUGAAUUAGUCCAUAGCAGUUAUCAGUUUUUCUUUCUUGGGAAGCUUAUACAUGUAACUUGUAUUGUUGUAAAUUGUGGGAGUAGGGCAGACAGGGAAAAGUCUUAUUUUGUACUGUUCCCAAGGCUCCCCAUGCAAUACAUUUAAAUGAAUUAUCCAAACAAAGCCGGGGACAAUGGAUAAAAGCCACAAGAAGAACAGAUAUAAGGGAACUAAAAUUAAAAUAUGAAAAGUAAACAUUUUAUAAGUGGAACAACCACCAGAUAUUUAAAAGGUAUAAAAAGAAGAAACUGCUGGAAUUUCAAAACAAAUGUGUUUGACUAGUAAAGAUUUGGAUAAAUAACAGGAGUUAUUUCAUGUUAAUUCUUAUUAAUUAUACACUUAAAUAUGUUUUUAGUCUCAGGAAGAUUUUAUAUUUGAUUAUUUUUGAAUAAACAUUAUUAUUAUUAUUACCUUAAUUUCCAUUAAAUAAAUUAACUGUAAUCAAUAAAGUAAUCGUUUAAUUGUUAAUAAAUUAUCAAGUAUGA
rnacentral:lncRNA from 1 species